rnacentral:tRNA from 1 species
GGGUGAUUAGCUCAGCUGGGAGAGCACCUCCCUUACAAGGAGGGGGUCGGCGGUUCGAUCAGGUAACACCCA